AGUUUAAUAGUUUAAAUAAAAUUAUAAAUUGCAAAUUUAUAGAUGAAGAAAUUCUUAAACUU
rnacentral:tRNA from 2 species